rnacentral:rRNA from 1 species
UACAGAGGUGGUAAGCGUUGUUCGGAAUUACUGGGCGUAAAGGGCGCGUAGGCGGUUCGAUAAGUCCCGUGUGAAAUCCCUCGGCUCAACUGAGGAACUGCACGGGAAACUGACGGGCUUGAGUUCGGGAGAGGGAAGCGGAAUUCCGGGUGUAGCGGUGAAAUGCGUAGAUAUCCGGAGGAACACCGGUGGCGAAGGCGGCUUCCUGGACCGACACUGACGCUGAGGCGCGAAAGCUAGGGGAGCAAACGGG